GACGAACGCUGGCGGCAUGCCUAAUACAUGCAAGUCGAGCGAACAGAUGGAGUGCUUGCACUUCUGACGUUAGCGGCGAACGGGUGAGUAACACGUAAGGAAUCUACCUAUAAGCGGGGGAUAACAUUCGGAAACGGGUGCUAAUACCGCAUAAUAUCUUCUUCCGCAUGGAAGAAGAUUGAAAGACGGCCCUGCUGUCACUUAUAGAUGACCUUGCGGUGCAUUAGUUAGUUGGUGGGGUAACGGCCUACCAAGACGAUGAUGCAUAGCCGACCUGAGAGGGUGGUCGGCCACAUUGGGACUGGGAGACGGCCCAAACUCCUACGGGAGGCAGCAGUGGGGAAUCUUCCGCAAUGGGCGAAAGCCUGACGGAGCAAUGCCGCGUGAGUGAAGAAGGCCUUCGGGUCGUAAAACUCAGUUAUAAGAGAAGAACAAAUUGUAGAGUAACUGCUACAGUCUUGACGGUAUCUUAUCAGAAAGCCACGGCUAACUACGUGCCAGCCGCCGCGGUAA
rnacentral:rRNA from 1 species